rnacentral:rRNA from 1 species
GACGAACGCUGGCGGCGUGCUUAACACAUGCAAGUCGAACGGAAAGGCCUGCUUUCCCUUGUGGAUUGCGGGUACUCGAGUGGCGAACGGGUAGUAACACGUGAGUGAUCUGCCCCCAACUUGGGUAUAAGCCUGGGAAACUGGGUCUAAUUCCCGAUAGGACUGCAGGGUGGUGCCUGUGGUGGAAAACGAUUUUCUAGUGGUUGGGGAUGAGCUCGCGGCCUAUCAGCUUGUUGGUGGGGUAAUGGCCUACCAAGGCGGCGACGGGUAGCCGGCCUGAGAGGGUGGACGGCCACAUUGGGACUGAGAUACGGCCCAGACUCCUACGGGAGGCAGCAGUGGGGAAUAUUGCACAAUGGGCGGAAGCCUGAUGCAGCGACGCCGCGUGGGGGAUGACGGCCUUCGGGUUGUAAACUCCUUUCGACCGCGAGGAAGCCACCUGGUUGGAAGGGUGGUGACGGUAGUGGUAGAAGAAGCACCGGCUAACUACGUG